rnacentral:RNase_P_RNA from 1 species
AUGAAGGGUCGUGUAGCUGCUGUGAUUAAUGAUCAUAGAGGAAAGUCCGGGCUCCACACAAACGUAGUGCCGGAUAACGUCCGGCGAGGGGCGAGUCAUUAGGCGCGAGUCUUUGGCGCGAAUCUUAGGGAAAGUGCAACAGAAAAUAUACCGCUGGGAAUUUUUUUCAGUAAGGGUGAAAAGGGGCGGUAAGAGCGCACCGCAUUUGUGGUAACACAGGUGGCAUUGUAAACCCCACUAGGAGCAAGGCCGAAUAGAGGUCCGUUUUCGUAAGAAAGAGCGUGUUUGUCGCUUUGAGAUCCGGGUUGGCUGCUUGAGCGUAUUGGUAACAAUAGGCCUAGAUGAAUAGCUACAGAGGGAUGAGAAUCCUAGACAGAACCCGGCUUAUAGACCCUUCAUGAGG